rnacentral:rRNA from 1 species
CACGUAGGGCGCAAGCGUUGUCCGGAAUUAUUGUGCGUAAAGAGCUCGUAGGUGGUUUGUUACGUCUGCUGUGAAAACCUAGGGCUUAACCCUGGGCUUGCAGUGGAUACGGGCAGACUAGAGGUAGGUAGGGGAGAAUGGAAUUCCUGGUGUAGCGGUGAAAUGCGCAGAUAUCAGGAGGAACACCGGUGGCGAAGGCGGUUCUCUGGGCCUUACCUGACACUGAGGAGCGAAAGCGUGGGGAGCGAACAGG